rnacentral:rRNA from 1 species
UGGGGAAUAUUGGACAAUGGGGGCAACCCUGAUCCAGCCAUGCCGCGUGAGUGAUGAAGGCCUUCGGGUUGUAAAGCUCUUUUGGCGGGGACGAUGAUGACGGUACCCGCAGAAUAAGCCCCGGCUAACUUCGUGCCAGCAGCCGCGGUAAGACGAAGGGGGCUAGCGUUGUUCGGAAUUACUGGGCGUAAAGCGAGUGUAGGCGGUUGUCAUAGUCAGGCGUGAAAGCCUUGAGCUCAACUCAAGAAAUGCGCUUGAUACUGGGCGACUAGAGGACCGGAGAGGAUAGUGGAAUUCCCAGUGUAGUGGUGAAAUACGUAGAGAUUGGGAAGAACACCAGUGGCGAAGGCGGCUAUCUGGACGGUUACUGACGCUAAGACUCGAAAGCGUGGGGAGCAAACA